AGUGCCCUCACGGCCUCGUGGGCCGACAAUAAGUCGGAAGGAGUUUGUUGGUUGGUUGUCUCGUUUCAUUUUCUGGACCACAGGUUUGUCGGUGUUGAGAGUGUUGGCAAUGGUCUGUGGGGUAGCAGAAAUGUUGUUGGGGGCCUGAAUAAAGGCAUAGUCGGUAAUUGCCUCAAAAUCGAUAUCGGCUCGCCGAGUAUCUUCAUGCCAUCGGACCACCUUAUCAAGUUCCCCUGGAGCAAUUGAUGCUAGGUGCUGCUUAACAG
rnacentral:lncRNA from 1 species